rfam:Oxytricha trifallax strain JRB310 Contig20525.0 macronuclear, whole genome shotgun sequence.
GGGAGUCUAGCUCAAAUGGUAGAGCGCCCGCUUAGCAUGCGGGAGGCACUGGGAUCGAUACCCAGGUCUUCCA